rnacentral:rRNA from 1 species
AAUGAACGCUGGCGGCAUGCCUAACACAUGCAAGUCGAACGAAGGCUUCGGCCUUAGUGGCGCACGGGUGCGUAACGCGUGGGAAUCUGCCCUUGGGUUCGGAAUAACAGUUAGAAAUGACUGCUAAUACCGGAUGAUGUCGUGAGACCAAAGAUUUAUCGCCCAAGGAUGAGCCCGCGUAGGAUUAGCUAGUUGGUGGGGUAAAGGCCCACCAAGGCGACGAUCCUUAGCUGGUAUGAGAGGAUGAUCAGCCACACUGGGACUGAGACACGGCCCAGACUCCUACGGGAGGCAGCAGUGGGGAAUAUUGGACAAUGGGCGAAAGCCUGAUCCAGCAAUGCCGCGUGAGUGAUGAAGGCCUUAGGGUUGUAAAGCUCUUUUACCCGGGAUGAUAAUGACAGUACCGGGAGAAUAAGCUCCGGCUAACUUCGUGCCAGCCGCCGCCGUAAUAC